AGCGCUUAGAAGUGAGAAUGCCGGUAUGAGUAGCGAAAGACAGGUGAGAAUCCUGUCCACCGAAUGACUAAGGUUUCCUGGGGAAGGCUCGUCCGCCCAGGGUUAGUCGGGACCUAAGCCGAGGCCGACAGGCGUAGGCGAUGGACAACAGGUUGAUAUUCCUGUACCCGUUGUUUUUGUUUGAGCAAUGGAGGGACGCAGGAGGCUAAGAAGUGCAGACUGAUGGAUAUGUCUGUUCAAGCAGUAAGUCUUGGUAGGAGUCAAAUGCUUCUACCUAUACGGACAAGCUGUGAUGAGGAGGGAAAUAAUAGUACCGAAGCUUCUGAUGUCACACUGCCAAGAAAAGCUUCUAGUGAGAAAACAACGGCCCGUACCGCAAACCGACACAGGUAGU
rnacentral:rRNA from 1 species